ACUCCUACGGGAGGCAGCAGUGGGGAAUAUUGCACAAUGGGCGCAAGCCUGAUCUAGCCAUGCCGCGUGAGUGAUGAAGGCCUUAGGGUCGUAAAGCUCUUUCGCCAGGGAUGAUAAUGACAGUACCUGGUAAAGAAACCCGGCUAACUCCGUGCCAGCAGCCGCGGUAAUACGGAGGGGGUUAGCGUUGUUCGGAAUUACUGGGCGUAAAGCGCGCGUAGGCGGAUUAGUCAGUUAGAGGUGAAAUCCCAGGGCUCAACCCUGGAACUGCCUUUAAUACUGCUAGUCUUGAGUUCGAGAGAGGUGAGUGGAAUUCCGAGUGUAGAGGUGAAAUUCGUAGAUAUUCGGAGGAACACCAGUGGCGAAGGCGGCUCACUGGCUCGAUACUGACGCUGAGGUGCGAAAGUGUGGGGAGCAAACAGGAUUAGAUACCCUGGUAGCGACUGA
rnacentral:rRNA from 1 species